GAUGAGCGCUGGCGGCGUGCCUAAUACAUGCAAGUCGAGCGAACAGACGAGGAGCUUGCUCCUCUGACGUUAGCGGCGGACGGGUGAGUAACACGUGGAUAACCUACCUAUAAGACUGGGAUAACUUCGGGAAACCGGAGCUAAUACCGGAUAAUAUAUUGAACCGCAUGGUUCAAUAGUGAAAGACGGUUUUGCUGUCACUUAUAGAUGGAUCCGCGCCGCAUUAGCUAGUUGGUAAGGUAACGGCUUACCAAGGCAACGAUGCGUAGCCGACCUGAGAGGGUGAUCGGCCACACUGGAACUGAGACACGGUCAAGACUCCUACGGGAGGCAGCAGUAGGGAAUCUUCCGCAAUGGGCGAAAGCCUGACGGAGCAACGCCGCGUGAGUGAUGAAGGUCUUCGGAUCGUAAAACUCUGUUAUUAGGGAAGAACAAAUGUGUAAGUAACUAUGCACGUCUUGACGGUACCUAAUCAGAAAGCCACGGCUAACUACGUG
rnacentral:rRNA from 1 species